rnacentral:rRNA from 1 species
CAGUCGCCACGGUAAUACGUAGGUGGCAAGCGUUGUCCGGAAUUAUUGGGCGUAAAGGGCUCGCAGGCGGUUUCUUAAGUCUGAUGUGAAAGCCCCCGGCUCAACCGGGGAGGGUCAUUGGAAACUGGGAAACUUGAGUGCAGAAGAGGAGAGUGGAACUCCACGUGUAGCGGUGAAAUGCGUAGAGAUGUGGAGGAACACCGGUGGCGAAGGCGACUCUCUGGUCUGUAACUGACGCUGAGGAGCGAAAGCGUGGGGAGCGAACAGGAUUAGAUACCCCCGUAGUCCCUGUCUCUUAUAC